CUGGAGGGAUCCAAACCACAUUUCCCACCUCCCAAGAGAGGGCCCAAACCAACGGGGGUAAAAUGAGGUUGAGAUUGGGGAGAUAGGCUGUUCAGCCGUCUCUUCUCCUUGAAGCUGCACAGAAGUGCAUUCCGGGGGGCAUAGGGAGAUCAAAGGAACUCCCGGAACUCAGACGCACGUAGACCACCACUCGCAGUCUCGUGGUUAUGCUCUCAGCUGGCCAGCCUGGGCUCUGGGUUAGAGUUGCUCUAGUUAGAGCCUUUCAUAUGAAAAUCAGUCAUAGGGCAAAAAAGAACAGAACUGCAUCUCACAGCAGGGAGAGGAAUCCAGUGUCUCCAUCGCUUCUCCUCGCCGGAGGUGUCUGUAUCAAAGAGUCGGGAAUCAGGGAGCUGCAGAGAGCUGUAGUCAACAGAGGGAGAAUGAUUUAUCUAGAAGACAAAAUUACUCAUGUUUCAAAUCACCACCCCUGAAAUACCUGAGAUCCAUCAAGUGUCGACAGAGGUUUCAAAGCAAAGACAAUAGAUAAUAUUUAACAGCUGGGGAAACCAAAGCACAGCAGGAUCAGAGGCUGUGUCUUUGUUUCCAGUUCUGUUCUAAACCAAAAUCCUGUCUGUUUGGUAUCACUGCAUUUGGAGCCACAGAUGUCUUCUGCUCAAUUCAUAUAAUGAUAGAAUGACUAAGGUUGGAAAAGGCCUCCAAGACCGUCAAGUCCAACCCUUAACCCAUCACUGCCAAGUCUACCACUAAAUCAUGUCCCUAAGCACCACAUCUGCAAGUUUUUUCAACAUUUCCAGGGACAGGGAUCCAAUCACUUCCCAGGCAGCCUCUUCCAGUGUUUGACAAUUCUUUCAGUGAAGAAAUUCUCAAUAUUCAAUCUAAACCUCCCCUGGAGCUUGAGGCCAUUUUCUCUUGUGCUAUUGCUUGUUACUUGGGAGAAGAGACAAAUUUCCCCUAUACUACAACCUCCUUCCAGGGAGUUUAGAUAACAAUAAGGUCCCCUCUGAGCCUCCUUUUCUCUAAUCUAAACAGCUCCAGUUUCCUCAGCCACUCCUCAUAAGAUUUGUGCUUCAGACCCUCCAUCAGGCCGGCAGCACUGAAUCCACUUCCCUCUCUCCACAGACAUCCACUUUCAGGAUAAUGGGUGUUGUUGGAUGUUCUUAGAAAGCUGAUGCAGAAUUUCCCCGCCAGGAAAGCUAUUGGUGCACUAGCAUGACCUAAUCCUGCCCACAUUUCAUUCUGUGCAGUCACCUCAGAGUCAAAGAGCUCCAG
rnacentral:lncRNA from 1 species